UACGUAGGGUGCGAGCGUUGUCCGGAAUUAUUGGGCGUAAAGGGCUCGUAGGCGGUUUGUCGCGUCGGGAGUGAAAACUCAGGGCUUAACCCUGAGCCUGCUUCCGAUACGGGCAGACUAGAGGUAUGCAGGGGAGAACGGAAUUCCUGGUGUAGCGGUGAAAUGCGCAGAUAUCAGGAGGAACACCGGUGGCGAAGGCGGGUCUCUGGGCCGAUAUUGACGCUGAGGAGCGAAAGCGUGGGGAGCGAACAGG
rnacentral:rRNA from 1 species